AUGGCUCAGGACGAACGGCUGGCGGCGUGCUUCAUACAUGCAAGUCGAACGAGAAGCUGACUUCGGUCAGUGGAAAGUGGCGGACGGGUGAGUAAUAUGUAGAGAAUCUGCCCUUGAGUGGGGGACAACAGAGGGAAACUUCUGCUAAUACCCCAUAUGAGCUAACUUGAAAUAGUUAUCUUGAAAACUCCGGUGCUCAAGGAUGAGUCUGCAUCUGAUUAGCUAGUUGGCGGUGUAAUGGACCACCAAGGCGACGAUCAGUAGCUGGUUUGAGAGGAUGAUCAGCCACAAUGGGACUGAGACACGGCCCAUACUCCUACGGGAGGCAGCAGUAGGGAAUUUUGCGCAAUGGGCGAAAGCCUUGACGCAGCAACGCCGCGUGAACGAUUAAGCCCUUCGGGGUGUAAAGUUCUGUCAGUAGGGACGAAUUUUGACGGUACCUACAGAGGAAGCACCGGCUAACUCCGUGCCAGCAGCUGC
rnacentral:rRNA from 1 species